UACGUAGGGGCGAGCGUUAUCCGGAAUUAUUGGGCGUAAAGAGUUCGCAGGUGGUCUGUUAAGUCAGAUGUGAAAGGCAGUGGCUCAACCAUUGCAAGCAUUUGAAACUGGCAGACUUGAGUACAGGAGAGGAAAGCGGAAUUCCUAGUGUAGCGGUGAAAUGCGUAGAUAUUAGGAGGAACACCAGUGGCGAAGGCGGCUUCCUGGUCCAACACUGACGCUGAGGCGCGAAAGCGUGGGUAGCGAACAGGAUUAGAUA
rnacentral:rRNA from 1 species